rnacentral:rRNA from 1 species
AUACGGAGGGGGCUAGCGUUGUUCGGAAUUACUGGGCGUAAAGCGCGCGUAGGCGGCUUAUCAAGUUAGGCGUGAAAGGCCUGGGCUCAACCCGGGAACUGCGCUUAAUACUGGUAGACUUGAGUCCGGGAGAGGGUGGCGGAAUUCCCAGUGUAGAGGUGAAAUUCGUAGAUAUUGGGAAGAACACCAGUGGCGAAGGCGGCCACCUGGCCCGGUACUGACGCUGAGGUGCGAAAGCGUGGGGAGCAAACAGGAUUAGAAACCCCAGUAGUCC